AGGGUGCCGGGGCGCAANGUCCCGGUCACCAAUCAANCAAGCCGGGGGGUUUNGGGGNGGCCCGGGUUCACAAGAUCAUCCGGACGGGUGACCCUAUCGAAGGUUUAANAUAAUGAUCGGGUCCCGGCCCGCUUUUGGGCCUUGGGAGGUACGGAACCUGCGGAAGGAUCAUUAU
rnacentral:rRNA from 1 species